GAUUUGAGCAGCUCACGCAGAGAGCUCAGUGCAGGAGCAAAGGUCAUUCUCCCAGCAUAGUCUCCUUGUGGUGCCAGAAAUACAGGCAAGAGAUCGUGCUUCUCUGCCAUUCCCUGCUGAAACCGUCAGUGCCCAGGCUCUGCACAGGUCGUCAGAGACAUCUUGCAUGUAUGAGACCAUCAACACCAGCAAUCAGUUGUGUAUUACAUAUUUUCAUCCACAGGUAACCUUAAAAUUUCCUUCCAUG
rnacentral:lncRNA from 1 species